UACGUAGGGGGCUAGCGUUGUCCGGAUUUAUUGGGCGUAAAGAGCGUGUAGGCGGCCAGGUAGGUCCGCUGUGAAAGCCCGGGGCUUAACCCCGGAAUUGCACCUCAAACUACAUGGCUAGAGCAUUGGAGAGGGUAGCGGAAUUCACGGUGUAGCAGUGAAAUGCGUAGAUAUCGUGAGGAACACCAGAGGCGAAGGCGGCUACCUGGACAAUUGCUGACGCUCAGGCACGAAAGCGUGGGGAGCAAAAGGG
rnacentral:rRNA from 1 species